UACGGGGGGGGCAAGCGUUGUUCGGAAUCACUGGGCGUAAAGGGCGCGUAGGCGGCCGAUCAAGUCGGGGGUGAAAGCCUGUGGCUCAACCACAGAAUUGCCUUCGAUACUGUUUGGCUUGAGUCCGGGAGAGGUGAGUGGAACUGCGAGUGUAGAGGUGAAAUUCGUAGAUAUUCGCAAGAACACCAGUGGCGAAGGCGGCUCACUGGCCCGGUACUGACGCUGAGGUGCGAAAGCGUGGGGAGCAAACAGG
rnacentral:rRNA from 1 species